CACAAUAACACACACAGACUCAAUCACACCAGGUUACAGUAAAAAUGCUGUGGGACUCAACAGGAUGUGGCAGUGAUCAUACAUGAUAACACACAUUUAGUUGCAGAUAUUUGUUGUCUUAAAAAUAUAAAGUCUACAUGUACUCCAAGUUUGGACUGGAUGACUUUCUUUGUUGGCCACUUGGGGGCAGAAGAAACCAACAGUAUUCAUCUGGAGUCAUGUUUCUGCCCCUUUCAAACUUCAAGGCUGGCACUUCACUUUAAUGUUGAAAAAAAUGUACUACUUAAGUGGAUUUCUCAUCAAACUCACCCAAUCACCAGGCAGCACUGGAUAAUACAGGAACACACCCUUCAUUAUGUGCCUGGUCCAUUUUUAACAGGUUUUUAACAACUUUUGCAUAAAACUUCGAGCGAUGGUCAAGAUGUGAUAACUGAGUUACAAGGACAGAUGAAUGUCAAAAAGAUGCGUGUCUUCCCCCUGCUGAGCCUAACUAUUAUUGUUGUUAUUAAUAUAUGUACGACUUAAAAAAGCAAACAAACACAUGCACACACACACACACACACAAAAC